CUGCAGAAUCUGCAUUAAACUGUAUUUUCCAAAGUACUGAACAGAUCUGGGUGAAUUUUGGAUAUGUGGUUCACCCAGAUCCCCCGGUUCCAAGGAUAUACUUUUUAUGGGGUUAUUGCAUGUUUUGGGGUCCCUGUGUGUUUUAUGAAACUGUAUUAUUUCUGGCCAGCAGAUAAUUGAGCUUUGUGUAUUGUAGAAACUCAAUUAUCUAGCCUGGCCCAGAGGAGGAGUUUUGUGUUGCAUAAAUUGUGAGUUCUGUGUGCCAGUAAAUCAGUCUUGUUCCAGCAUUAAGCCUUGGCUCAUGUUUGGGGGAUUGGAGAAAUACACUCUGGGGAUUGCUAUAAUCACUAUACUCCCCAGGGUAUGAUCACUAAGUUCUGCUAAGAGCUUGUUCCUGUUCCUGCUCUCUGGGGAAAGAGAGGUUCACCCACUGGAAGCUGGAUCCUGGCCUUGGGUCCAGGGUGGUUGGAGACAGC
rnacentral:lncRNA from 1 species